AGUGAACGCUGGCGGCGUGCUUAACACAUGCAAGUCGAACGAGAACGGAUUAUAGCUUGCUAUAAUUGUCAGCUAAGUGGCGCACGGGUGAGUAAUGUAUAGGUAAUAUGCCUCUUACUAAGGGAUAACAAAUGGAAACGUUUGCUAAUACCUUAUAUUCUUUAUUAAAAGAGGUUAAUAAGGGAAAGAUUUAUUGGUAAGAGAUUAGCUUGUAUUGUAUCAGUUAGUUGGUGGGGUAAUGGCUUACCAAGACUAUGACACAUAACUGGUUUGAGAGGAUGAUCAGUCACACUGGAACUGAGACACGGUCCAGACUCCUACGGGAGGCAGCAGUGGGGAAUAUUGCACAAUGGACGAAAGUCUGAUGCAGCAACGCCGCGUGGAGGAUGACACAUUUCGGUGCGUAAACUCCUUUUAUAUGAGAAGAUAAUGACGGUAUUAUAUGAAUAAGCACCGGCUAACUCCGUGCCAGCAGCCGCCGUAA
rnacentral:rRNA from 1 species